rnacentral:rRNA from 1 species
UACGUAGGGUGCAAGCGUUAUCCGGAAUUAUUGGGCGUAAAGGGUGCGUAGGCGGUUAGAUAAGUCGGGUGUGAAAGCUACAGGCUCAACUUGUAGUUGCGCCCGAAACUAUUUAGCUAGAGGAUGUGAGAGGAAAGCGGAACUCAUGGUGUAGCGGUGAAAUGCGUAGAUAUCAUGAGGAACACCAGUAGCGAAGGCGGCUUUCUGGCACAUUUCUGACGCUGAGGCACGAAAGCGUGGGGAGCAAACAGG